GAUGAACGCUGACAGAAUGCUUAACACAUGCAAGUCUUUGGCGAAGCUGUGCUUGCACAGCCUAGCCAAGGCGGACGGGUGAGUAACGCGUCAGGAACUUGCCCUGCAGUCAGGGAUAACAGACGGAAACGACUGAUAAGACCUGGUAAAGUCAGGCGGACUCAUGUCCAGCCUGAUGAAAAGUGAUGCUGCAGGAGAGCCUUGCGUCCUAUUAGCUUGUUGGUGGGGUAACGGCCCACCAAGGCGAUGAUAGGUAGCCGGCCUGAGAGGGUGGACGGCCACAAGGGGACUGAGGUACGGCCCUUACUCCUACGGGAGGCAGCAGUGGGGAAUAUUGGACAAUGGGGGCAACCCUGAUCCAGCAAUUCUGUGUGCACGAUGAAGGUUUUCGGAUUGUAAAGUGCUUUCAGCAGGGAAGAAAAAAAUGACGGUACCUGCAGAAGAAGCGACGGCUAAAUACGUG
rnacentral:rRNA from 1 species